rnacentral:tRNA from 1 species
GCGGAAGUGCUGGAAUCGGCAGACAGGCACGUUUGAGGGGCGUGUGUCUUAAUGGCGUACGGGUUCAAGUCCCGUCUUCCGCACCA